CACGUAGGGCGCAAGCGUUGUCCGGAAUUAUUGGGCGUAAAGAGCUCGUAGGCGGUCUGUUGCGUCCGCUGUGAAAACUCGGGGCUUAACCCCGAGCCUGCAGUGGAUACGGGCAGACUAGAGGUAGGUAGGGGAGAAUGGAAUUCCCGGUGUAGCGGUGAAAUGCGCAGAUAUCAGGAGGAACACCGGUGGUGUAGACGGCUCUCUGGGACGGUACUGACGCUGAGGCGCGAAAGCGUGGGGAGCAAACAGG
rnacentral:rRNA from 1 species